rnacentral:rRNA from 1 species
UGAGGAAUAUUGGUCAAUGGACGCAAGUCUGAACCAGCCAAGUAGCGUGCAGGAUGACGGCCCUAUGGGUUGUAAACUGCUUUUAUAUGGGGAUAAAGUGGGGAACGUGUUCCCUUUUGCAGGUACCAUAUGAAUAAGGACCGGCUAAUUCCGUGCCAGCAGCCGCGGUAAUACGGAAGGUUCGGGCGUUAUCCGGAAUUAUUGGGCUUAAAGGGCAUCUAGGCGGUAAGACAAGUUGAAGGUGAAAACCUGUGGCUCAACCAUAGGCUUGCCUACAAAACUGUUGAACUAGAGUACUGGAAAGGUGGGUGGAACUACACGAGUAGAGGUGAAAUUCGUAGAUAUGUGUAGGAAUGCCGAUGAUGAAGAUAACUCACUGGACAGAAACUGACGCUGAAGUGCGAAAGCUAGGGGAGCAAACAGG